rnacentral:rRNA from 1 species
AACGAACGCUGGCGGCAGGCUUAACACAUGCAAGUCGAACGCAUGCCUUCGGGCAUGAGUGGCAGACGGGUGAGUAACGCGUGGGAACCUACCCCUUGGUACGGGAUAGCUCCGGGAAACUGGAGAUAAUACCGUAUGUGUCCUGAGGGACAAAGAUUCAUCGCCAAGGGAUGGGCCCGCGUCGGAUUCGCUAGUUGGUGGGGUAACGGCCUACCAAGGCGACGAUCCGUAGCUGGUCUAAGAGGAUGAUCAGCCACAUUGGGACUGAGACACGGCCCAAACUCCUACGGGAGGCAGCAGUGGGGAAUAUUGGACAAUGGGCGCAAGCCUGAUCCAGCCAUGCCGCGUGAGUGAUGAAGGCCCUAGGGUUGUAAAGCUCUUUCACCGGGGACGAUAAUGACGGUAACCGGAGAAGAAGCCCCGGCUAACUUCG